GGACCCGCACAAGCGGUGGAGUAUGUGGCUUAAUUCGAUGCAACGCGAAGAACCUUACCUAGGCUUGACAUGCUUGUCGUACUCUCCCGAAAAGGAGAGGUCACUUCGGGUGGACAAUGCACAGGUGCUGCAUGGCCGUCGUCAGCUCGUGUCGUGAGAUGUUUGGUUAAGUCCAGCAACGAGCGCAACCCCUGUGAACUGUUGCCAGCGCGUAAAGGCGGGGACUCUGUUCAGACUGCCCAGAUCAACUGGGAGGAAGGUGGGGACGACGUCAGGUCAGUAUGGCCCUUACGCCUAGGGCUGCACACGUACUACAAUGCCCAGCACAAUGAGAACCGAGACCGCAAGGUGGAGGAAAUCUGCAAAACUGGGCCCAGUUCGGAUUGGAGGCUGCAACUCGCCUCCAUGAAGUCGGAAUCGCUAGUAAUGC
rnacentral:rRNA from 1 species